rnacentral:sRNA from 1 species
GGAAGGAUCAUUACCGAAUUGUCAACAAGAGUUGUUGCUGGUCCCUGUAUGGGGGCAUGUGCACGCUCUGUUUACACAUCCACUCACACCUGUGCACGCUCUGUAGUUCUAUGGCCUGGGUGGGCUCUGCCCUCCUGCUGUGGUUCUAUGUCUUUACACACACACUACAACAAAGUCUCAUGGAAUGUAUGUCGCGUUUAACGCAAUGAAAUACAACUUUCAGCAACGGAUCUCUUGGCUCUCGCAUCGAUGAAGAACGCAGCGAAAUGCGAUAAGUAAUGUGAAUUGCAGAAUUCAGUGAAUCAUCGAAUCUUUGAACGCACCUUGCGCCCUUUGGCUAUUCCGAAGGGCAUGCCUGUUUGAGUAUCAUGAACACCUCAACUCUCAUGGCUUGCCGUGAUGUGCUUGGACUUUGGGGGUCUUGUUGGCCUGUGAGCCAGCUCCUCUUAAAUGAAUUAGCUCGCCGGUGUUUGGUGGCGUCACGGGUGUGAUAACUAUCUACGCUUGUGGUUCCCCACCAGGGUAACCUUCAGCAAUGAAGGUUCACCGGAGCUUAUAAAUGUCUCUCCUCAGCGAGGACAGAUUUUGACCAUUUGAUCUCAAAUCAGGUAGGACUACCCGCUGAACUUAAGCAUAUCAA